CUCUCUCGGAACGACACCCAACCUCAAGCGAGAGAUGCAUGUGUGGGUGGCAGCAGAUCAACCUCCUUCUCAACCCAUGUGCAUCCUCCGUGGAUGAUGACGACAACCAGGGCAUCCACCGCCACGACGACACCCCGCACAUGGUCCAACUCGGCUACAACCUCCUCUACCGUGCGACUGCGGCCGCGGUCGUGUUCGGCAUCGACUACAACCUCCUCUCCGGUGAGUCCAUCUCCUACCUCUAGCUCCCUCUCUUGUGCUGCUAUAGCAGUACCUUGCUCUGUUUCAUGCGCAUGGGUGAUUUUGUUUGUGCUUGUCGUGCUUGUGCCAUGAGAAAGAUCAUUCCUAUUUACAGUGAUGAUGAUUCAGAGUAGCACACUUGUUAAAUUCUGCUCUUGUACUACCUCAUUUGUGGUUGUUGGUUAC